GGUGAUACCAAAUGCAAGUAUAAAUACGUCGUAAAACAGACCUGCUAAUGGUCAUAACUAGUGAGAAUUUCCGAUAAAUUCUAUUAAUUUAAUACGGAUUCACUUAAUUGUUUUUCUUUCUUUCGUGUUUUAUUUCUGGUGCUGGCUUAACAAUUCAUUUCAUCGGAAAAAGUCAAGAGGAUCUUCAAAUAUUUGGAUAGAACACGCUCAACAUUUAAUGAAAAUACCAGACAGAUAAUGACAACUACAACAAAAGUGUGUUUGCUAAUGAUGGUCGCCUGUUUAUGUAUAUUCAACCUCGUACAAACCAAAUACAUAGACUGUUCUAUGGAGUGCGUGUUUGCAGCCUUCCGUCAGCCAACGGUUUGUCAAUGCAAAUAUUCACGUAAGCUACACUGGGGCAAAAGGGCACCCAUUACUAGAACCCAUAAAUUACCAACGUUUCGGUAUGGAAAGCGAGCAGUCCGAUUUUCAAACUCAGAUUUAGACGAAGAUAGAUUAGACACGUUAAGGUCCAUCCAGAAUACGUUCCGGUCAGAGGAACUGUCGCCAUUUGAGUAUGACGUAUGAACUUUCCACGUGGGUUUCAGCCGUCACAUUCCCGAAAGCGUGAUGGACAAUAUAUAGAUUAAACCAAAACAUAAGGAUUUUCACAUUAUCAAAGAAAACAAAAAAUGUCUUAUGAAUUGUUAUUGAAAGAAUGCUAAAAUUCCAGAUGGCUCGAAAUAGUGCCUAAAAUCAUGUACUCUUUCUUUCAACCGUACUUUCUACAGAUGUAAGGUGUUAUUCAAACAAUUCGCCCGAUUUAUUCAUUUUUGUAUUAUUUUACGUAAUGUCUAUUAUACUGGAGAAUAUAAACAUACAUAUGUUUUAGAUAUCAAAGCAGCGUGUGCUAUAUUUCAUUUAAGAAGGAAGCUAUCUAUACCGAGAAAGGAGUCGGAAGAAGGUCGUCGGGAUGUCAAGAAACUUCUCUCUGACAAUAUAGUUGGUUGCAUGCCCACCGCGAGACUGUACUGUGAAAUGUUAUUCUUACAUGACGUAUUUGGAAAUCGAUCAAACUCCUUUUUGAUAUUCAAGAAAACAUAUACCCAAAACGGUGCUUUCAUCAUUGAUUAAGUACUUUUUUGGAUUAUAUGCGUCGGAAUUAUAUCGCCACAGACACUGAUGCUCUUCUGAACUACAAUGACUUUAUUCGACUGUUUAUCACUGUUUGGUAUAUCUUAUUGCAAUUCUGAAACUAUUGUCAUCAACAGAACUAGCAUGAAUGUGUCGCUCUCAGUUUCUUUAUCCAGUAACGGGACAGAUCAGUUCAUUUAAGAACCUAUUGAUUUAAACAUGCUUACCAUGAUUUAAUCACAAAAUUUUGUCACAACUUCAGUCUUUGAUAAACAGAAAACAAAUUGUGAAAUAAUUCGAAACAAAACCAUCUAGCAUCGAUUUAUGUUUUGUUAUAUCAGGUAAAUGUGUCUAUACUAUAGAAAAAAUCCUUAAGUAUUGUAAAUUUGAGAACUGUUCCUUUUUUAUAUUCUUUAGUAAGCAAAAUAUGUAAGCUAUUUUUAGGCAUGUUAUACAAAAGCAAGUUGUCAACACACUUUAUAUUGCUUUAUCAAUACUAGUCAUCCAAGGCUGUAUAUUUCGUGGCUAUUUUAUUAUAUAUUGUUACGUUUCUGUAUUAUAUCUGAAUUGAAUCUAUUUAUUGUUUGUUUACACGCAAUCCUAAGAUAAAACAAAAAUUUCCUGAAAA
rnacentral:lncRNA from 1 species